rnacentral:rRNA from 1 species
CAGCCGCCGCGGUAAAACGGAGGGUGCAAGCGUUAAUCGGAAUUACUGGGCGUAAAGCGCACGCAGGCGGUCUGUCAAGUCAGAUGUGAAAUCCCCGGGCUUAACCUGGGAACUGCAUUUGAAACUGGCAGGCUAGAGUCUUGUAGAGGGGGGUAGAAUUCCAGGUGUAGCGGUGAAAUGCGUAGAGAUCUGGAGGAAUACCGGUGGCGAAGGCGGCCCCCUGGACAAAGACUGACGCUCAGGUGCGAAAGCGUGGGGAGCAAACAGGAUUAGAUACCCCAGUAGUCCCUGUCUCUUAUAC